UCUACACCCUGUCAAACAAGAAAGCUGAUUCCUAGGAGCGUGCAAGAAGUCUGCUGGAAGGUAAGAUUUCUGCACACCCAUCUUUUUCACUCUUUUUUUUCACUCUUUCUGGACUUUUUGAGGGUGAGUCCCACGUCUGAAUCAUCUUCAUCUCUCUCCACUUUUGUCUCUCUCCAAUCACCUUUGUCGUAAUCACCUUUGUCCAAUCACCAAUGUGUCGCUGGGCACAUACAGGUGCUCAGUGAACGUUCCUUGAAUGGCUGUGUAUAGGAAUAGCCUGAAGUUCAUGGAAAUAGAAGUGGCUUUUCAAACUACCUCACCCUGAGUCCCUCCAGAAAAGACUUACCAAAUCUAAUUAAUUCAAUUAAUAAGCAGAAUUCUGCCAGGUACGAGGCAUUCGGAAAUACAAAUCUCAUGGUGAGAGAUGGAGGGGAAGCUCAUGAUGGGUGGAUGUACUUCAAAUUCAACAACCCGCAGUUAUAGCUCCAUUUUCUGGGAAGCAAAACCACUCGGUGGCCCCAGGGCCCUUUAAAUUUUACCGUGACUGUUUUCUUAAGAAAUUCCUGGAGUAGAGCCUAAAUUUUAUGUAGGGGGUUGGCAUAUUCGUGGCCUAAGGGACGGUUGGCAGAAGGGGUGCCUAGAGUUCGCAAGGGAAGGAAACUGCUGAGGAGUCCGAGCAGCCCUGUGGAGGGUCGCUGAGUGGGGGACCCGAGAGUCCUUGAACUUCCAAAGCUUCGGGGAAUUCGAGGAAGGGACCCUGAGGGGUGGCCAAGGCUGCCAGAUGUCUGCUGGGUUUCAAUGCUGCCGACUUUUCUCCUCUGUCGGCCCAAGCUCGACCCGGGUUCAGCAGCCAGACCAGGGAACAGCCAGGGCAUCUGGGCAGGAGGGAGGCGGGCCGGCCGGGAGGAAGGAGUCCUGGGCCGCCGCCGCCGCCCCGCCCGUCGGGCUGUCCGCCCCGCCUACCCCGAGCGAGGCGGAGCCGGCCCCCGCCCGGAGGAGCAGCAGGAGGAGGAGAGGUCGGAGUCGUCUCCAGGAGCCCUUAGAGACAGAGUCCCCGGCAGCGGCGGUGGCGGCAGGGGCAGCGCACCGGCAGGCGAGUGAGCACCGAGCGGCGGGCGCAGAUUCAUUCCAUCACCUAAAACCUGGUGACGGUGGGCCAUAUAGAGUCUUGCUGGUGAAAACCAUUAACUGAAGAUGUCGAGCAAGACAGCCAGUACCAACAACAUUGCCCAGGCACGGAGGACUGUGCAGCAGUUGAGAAUGGAAGCCUCCAUUGAGAGAAUAAAGGUUUCAAAGGCAUCAGCAGACCUCAUGUCCUACUGUGAGGAACAUGCCAGGAAUGACCCUCUGCUGAUGGGGAUACCAACUUCAGAAAACCCCUUCAAGGAUAAGAAGACCUGCACCAUCUUAUAGAGAAGUAGUGAAGUGGAUCCUCCCCUCUUCUCAACAAAGCAAAUGAUGAGCAGCUCCUUGAAAAGAUUUACCUUCAGCUUAUUUGGUAACCACUGCUAAUAACUAAAAUGCUCUUAACUUGGAGUUAUGGACUCUGAAGUCUUUACCUUCCAAGUUUUUCUUUCCUUUUACUGAAUUAAUACAGAAUAAUAAUCUUGUUUCCCAUUUGUUAACUAUGGUGUCCUAUUAGUUACUGCUGAAGGAAAAGUUGGUCUGGCCUUUAAAAAGAAAACAAAUAUAUCAGUGAUCCAGUUAAAACCUAAAUUACCUAAGCAGUCGUCUAGAUUAAAAUGCCAAGGAUAACUGGUCCUAAAAAUUUUUGUCGUAGUCUAUUCUUAAGAGUUGUGCCAAUCUGUAUAGUAUAUGUGGAUGAGAAAUGUUUUGUGUAUAUAUAUGUGUGUGUUUGUAUAUACACAUCUCAAAGCUUAUUUCCCAAUUAAAAUGUCUCUCCCUCCAUACUAUCAGUUCGACUCAAGAAGUUAUACCUUUAUCUCAAGCUGUGUGUAGGUAGAAUUAAAUUCUUUUCUUGUCGUUAUUGUACAAAAAGAACACCCUACAGCCUAUAUUCAUCGUAGUUGAGUAAUGAAGUCAUCUCUCUCCUCUUGAAACCGUGCUGACCUGCCAAUCAAAAUUUUUAAACUGAACUAAAAGCCCUUUUAUAAUAUGAGCAUUCUUUCACCAAGGGAUUUCAGGUUUCAGCAAUCCUGAAUCUAUGUAGGAAAUGGGAGGCAGCCCUUGGGGGCACCCUAGGCAGCUGUGCCCCAGGGCUCAUGGUCUCUGAACCAGGGGUAGACACCUGAAAUUCCUACUGUAACGAUGGGAACUAGACAGAGCGGCCAUGAGCCCGGCCAAGAGAAGAGCAGGAAUGCGUGAAAACCAGCUGCUCUUUGUGGCCUAACUUUGUGAUUUAGCUCACUUUCUCUGCCUUCCCUCUUAUCUUUCCUCUGCAGCCAGAUCAUGUCUUCAGAAUUAAUGUCCACCUCCCCAUCCCCAAAUGGGUAGAUCAUGGUGGGAAAGAAAUAUACAAAGAAUGUAAAGGUAUCGGACACAUAAGCUCUUUUCAAGUAUCUGCAGCAUCUGCAUCAUCCCUGCCUGGUCCUCACACCAUCAGAGGGGCUUGUUUCACUACUUGGGCUCACAGUUCCUUGAUUUUCCUCUGGGCCUGGAUAUUACUGCCACACACACCCAGAAUGGCUAGUGGGGAUCCCCAAAGAAGGUUGUCUCCUGUGGCAGAGGGCAUACUGUUAACUAAGAGGAGGAGAGGGUAUUCCUAAACACUUAUUUAUGGGCCCAAACCAUGCACCAGACCUUUGAUAUUUUAAUUCAAAUUCCAUUCAUUAAAAAUUACUAAUGAAAAGUUAAAAGUAUUCUCAGAAAGGAUUCAACCCCAAGAAGGAAUUAUUUACAAUGGUUUUCCCUAGUUCUGUACAAUCUUGCCCUGCAGUGCAAGCCUGUUUUUAAAUCUAACACCUAAGCUUUGAGUAUUAUGUUAAUUGUGGGUGAACAAACAGUACUGUUUUCAGACUGCUCAAAUCUAUUCCGUAUUUCUGCAAGUCACCUAUCUAGCAUUGUGAACUGCCCUCACUCCUCCAGGAUCAUGUGGAAAUCAUGCCACUGCCCUUACCUUCUUGUCAUCUACACUUGGUUCUGCAAAGGGCCCAGUUUCCAAGUAUAUUAUAGGCACCGUUGGUGGAGAAAGGUUUUUCCUUUCAAAAGGUGAAAUUUGAAAUAUACAUUAAGAAGACAACUUUACAUGUGCUGCAUCACUUAAUGAGACAUUCUUUUUUUUUUAAUAGGUGUAUUUUUCUACUGAUAAGUUUCAGAACACUAAUCUUAUUUUCACUCUGAUUUUUACCAUGUUCCUUUGAAUAUUUAUAAUGUAGCUUGUUACAAAAUAUUUUCAUGAAAUUACUUUUAUUAUACUGUUAUAUACACAUUUUUGGUAGCAAGCAUAGUUUAUUCUUUCGUACUAAAACAUGUUCUUUUCCCUAUUAGAAAACAAGUAUGGUUUGCUAUAUAUUUGUUAAUAUGCUUGUAGUGGUAAGGAAUGGACUUGAGGUCCCAGGAGAUUUUUUUUUUUUUUGCUAGCCAGAUAUCAUAAAGGCUACAAGUAUGAACAUCAUAUAACUUCCUGACCAGGUGUAGGGCAUGUUUAAGAAAAGUGAUAUCAAGUCCUUUGAUGCUGGACCCAAGGGGGAAAAAUUGUAGCUAAGUGUUGAUUUACUUAUUAUGAGACGUCUAUGUGAGAAAAAUAUAAUAUAUGUAUACAUAUAUAUGAUAUGCAGAAGUCACUUUUAUUUAUCAGGCUUUAUUCUACUAGUAAAGCCACAGUUUAACUAUUAGACAGCAGCUGGUUAUAAUGAUGGACAAAUGCCCAAUGUGUUUUAUUUUUUCCAAACUACCACUAUAAUGACACAAUCACUUAUGUACAUGCAACUUCCUGGCUUCAUAUCUAUGAGGCUAUUUAAAUAUGUUCACUAUACUUGGUCUUUAAUUCUGCCUCUAUUAACAGUGAUCUCUUUUUCCAUUCUUGAUUCUUCUUUAGUUCAUCAUUAAUCUGUCCAAUUGACGCCUCAGGACCAUGGCAAGAAUUUCAUGACUCCAAAGUAUUUUACAGACACACCCUUUUUUUUUUUUUUUUUUUAACAGAGAGAAACACUUUCUAUACCAUGUGGUUCACAAGCUGUAGGUUUUUUCUAAAAAGAAUCAGGUUUUUACAUUUCCUUAUUAUUAAAAUAAAAAGUGCCAUACUGACCCCUUAAAGCAAAGACCUAAUUUGCUUUCUCUCUAUUGGGACUAUUUUUGUACUUUACUAAUCUUUCAACUAUCCAAAAAAAAAUUAUACCAAUGAUUUAGUAAUUUUGAGGCGUAAGUUAGUUUAGGUAGUGGAAGAUGUGCCAAACUUUCCCUCCAGAUGCCUUUGUCUCAAUUUGCAACUAAGGUAGUGUCAUCUGAGUGAUUACACUGAAUUUUACUAAGAAGUGAAUCACAGUACAUGUCAGUCCUUUCUCAAUAAAUGUAAUACCAGAGUGUGUUAUGACUGUAGACUUUUUAUGGUAGAUCUGUUAAUAGAAAAAAAAAAAUAUAUUGAAUUAAGUAGAGUUAUCUGUAUGUUAAAAUAGAGCACUUACCUAGAGCUGGGUGUCCUGGAUCGCUGUCUAGCCAAUCCUGUGUUCCUGUGUUGUGUGACUUUGGACAAGGCACUCCAUCUCUCUGAGCCUCCAUUUCACCAUCUGUAAAAUAAGGGGCUUGAAGUAGCUGAUGGCUGAUACCCUCCUGUUCCGUCCAGUGGCCUACCCCUCUACUGGUCCUGCCAACAUGUUGGUGCUAUACGCUGCUUCAAAUAUAAAAUUGGUUUGUCUAUUGUGUGUGCUCAUUUAAUAGCUUAUGAAAGGCCUUUUUGUUAUAUGGCUUUUUUUUUCUAGUUUUAUGAACUUGAUUACUGUAAUAAAGUCUUGUUUGUAGCCAUGUAACUAUAAACAUAGUCUCUUGAUGUCAGUAAAUUUGCAUUUGAUAUAUUAGUUGAUGGAAUUGUUGUUUUAGGACAUUCUUUGACUACUUAUCUGUCCAGCAUCUUAUUAACCUAAAUAUUGUGAUCGUUGUUUGGAAAUCUGUUCUCUGGAAAGAAUAAAAGCAUUUACUUCACAGCUAAUGUGUUUGCAGAUUUGAAAAACAGUUUCAUUAAAGCACCAUUGCUCUCUUU
rnacentral:lncRNA from 1 species